AACUCCUCCUACUUUGAGUUACCAAAAGGGUAGUCGCUUAGUAUCUCGCUUAGUAUGUAGGCUUAAGCUUAUUGUCAGUUCCUGAAUAACCUCGAUAGUACAUUCGCUUAUUGUAGUGUUAAAUUGACGGGCUGAUUAUUGGGAAUUUUUUCUAUUUAUCAAUUGUGUUUAAAUAGUUUUGUUAUAAUUUUAAAAAUGGUUGGAUAUACGUGUAUUUGUGAAGGGUGUUCAUCCAAGACGGGUCAAGGAAUAUCAUUUUUUAGAUUGCCAAAGGAUAAAAUAAGGUAUGUAGUGUCAUUAAUAAAUUGAUUUACUUUCUAAAUACUGAUUAAGCGGCAUAUUACUUAUAUCAUAUUAAUUAUAUUAAUCUCGAAACACACAUAAAAUGGUUACUCAAGCUAUGUGUGUUAGAAAUAGUUCCAAUAGUAUUUUUUCAAGAAAUAUUUUGAUAAGUCUGAAAAAAAUCCUGUCUUGAAAACAGUAAAUUUUAGUUACUAGUAAGAAUGAAUAACGCUCUGUUAUUGAAAAUAGUCAAAAUAAUCUUAAAAAAUAAAAGAGAUAUUAACAAGACAUUAAAUUUUUAUUAAAAAACAUCUUAUGUUAUAGGAGUGAGCUAUGGUUAAAAGCUACUAAAAGACAAGAUUUGUUAGAGGAGGAUUUAACUAGAUACAGAAUUUGCGAAAAGUAUUUUGAAAAUAAAUUUUUAUGCACAUCUUCACGACGAAAACUCUUGUAUGACAAUGCUUUGCCGUCAAUUUUUACCGAAUCUAAAGAUAUCUGCGCGAAUACGUCUGAGGAGCCGCCGAAAAAAGUUCAAAUAUUGUCAGAUAAUAGAAUAACGCCUGCGGCGGAAAAUUUACAGUUAAUAUCCUCUAAACAAGUUUCUAUCAGCCCCAA
rnacentral:lncRNA from 1 species